rnacentral:rRNA from 1 species
UACAGAGACUGCAAGCGUUAUUCGGAUUCACUGGGCGUAAAGGGUGCGCAGGCGGCCAAGUGUGUUAGGCGUGAAAGCCUGGGCUUAACCCCAGAAUUGCACCUAAAACUACAUGGCUAGAGCAUUGGAGAGGGUAGCGGAAUUCACGGUGUAGCAGUGAAAUGCGUAGAUAUCGUGAGGAACACCAGAGGCGAAGGCGGCUACCUGGACAAUUGCUGACGCUCAGGCACGAAAGCGUGGGGAGCAAAAGGG